AGAGUAGGGCCCGUACAGUGCUGAUAGAUGGCCAGGCGAGGGGCCUAGAGCUGGGGGAGACUGGUGCGAUGCAGGUCCGGUGCCCCCUGGAGGUCAUCAAAGAGAUAGAACACAGGAAGAAUAAGUCAUGAAGUACAAUGACAGUCUUGACUGCUGCAGCAUGGAUCCUAUCCUCCGCUUGUCUGAAAUGGAAAAGACGUUGCUGCACUUGAGCUGUCUCCCGGACAUUUGUUACAUCAACACUCAGUUGUGUUUCUGUUGGGCUAAAAGAAAGAAAAAAGAGCCCCUCUCUGAUUCCCGAACGUGGUGCUCUGCCAAAAAAAGGCCGGGGAAACUGAUCCACCUUUGGGUCCUGGAUUAUAUUCUUUGUCUGAAUUCCAAGAUUCCACAAGCGGCCAGAAGAGAUUUGAGGUUUCUCCUGAACCCACGGUCGACGGCGGCAACAGCUAGCAGCAAACAGCAAUCAAUGUGUAUUAGCCCUGAUGUCUGCAGCUACCAACUUUACCUGAACUUUAUCCGAUGCAUUCUCCGUUGAGAGUUAUCCAACACGUGUGUAAGUGUGUCAAUAGACCUUCCAUUCGGCCAGGAGUUUUCCCCCGCUCAGGCCAGGGAAAACUCCAGGCCCUACUAAAGAACUGCCAGAUGACCUCUUGAGAGUGGAAGGAAAUGUCUGUUCACCAUGAACAGGAACUGGCCAUUGUCACUCUAGUGUUGGCAAACAACACCAUCCGCCUACAUCAACUACGAGAGCAAACCAUCGCAGACCACACAACAUUCCAUAUUAUCAACCGUGUCAGUAUGUCGACACUCUGCCACAUCUUGCGUCAACACCAACUUACGAUGAAGCAGCUGUCCAGGGUUCUAUUUGAGAGGAACAGUGUUAGAGUCAAAGACCUUCGCUGUGACUGUGUGCAAAGAGUCCUGGACUUUGAUGCAGUUGCACAGCCUCAUGAGUUCUUUUUCAUUGAUGAAGCUGGAUUCAAUCUAGCUAAAACCAGGCGUCGGGGUCAAAAUGUUAAAGGACAAAGAGCCGUUGUGAAUGUCCCUGGGCAGCGCAGGGGGGAAUAUCACCUUGUGUGCCGCCAUUAGUCUGCAAGAAGUUCUCCAUCACCAUGCCACCCUCGGUCCCUACAAUACUGCACACAUAAUCCUAUUUCUGGAUGCUCUACAUAAUGCAGUUGUGCAGGACGGACCAGAGCAGCCCAGGUUAGUUGUCAUCUGGGAUAAUGUUAGUUUCCACCGGGCUGCUCUGGUCAGGGACUGGUUCACCAACCACAAUAACUUCACAGUUGUAUAUUUGCCCCCUUACUCCCCAUUUCUCACUCCGAUUGAGGAGUUAUUUUCGGCUUGGCGUUGGAAAGUGUAUGACCGCCAACCACAUGACCGCCUGCCUCUUCUGCAAGCAAUGGAAGAGGCAUGCGGAGACAUUGAGGUGGGGUCAGUCCAGGGUCGGAUACGGCAAGGCGUUAUUUUCCCCGUUGCCUAGCCAGGGAUGACAUUGCUUGUGAUGUGGCCAGACCCUAACAGAAGGCGGGACCAUCCACCCCAUCCCUUCCAAUAUGAUUGUUUGUUUGCACUGUAACGUUACUGUAAUUCUUUUUGCUUCCGUGAGUUUACAGUAGCAUAUUGUGUUGAUCACUGUACUAUAAUUCUACUUUUCUUUGUGUUUUUUUGUUGUUGUAAAAACCUGCAAUGGCAAAAAAUAACCUGUAUAUUUUUUUUUCUGAA